UCAAACUUGCAACGGCUAAAACAAUCCAAUGACCCCAAGCACCAUAGGGUCCAUUAAACUGCAUAUAUCCCAGUAACCAUAGCAGGCUCUAAAGCAUCGAAUCUAUCAGUCAACACCCAGAAAAUUUAAAAGGAAUGAUGAAUGAGUUAUAAAAGUAAAAUGCUUAUGGGGGAAACUACCUGUGUCUCGAAAGAAACACACUUGUCCUGAGAAUCUUAGGUCGCCCCUGUGGCUGAUCAACGGUUUUGAGCAUGUCCUCCCUAAGAACACCGGCUCCAACUUUGAAUCAAACAACGCCUUCCCCAUAAUCUAAAGAAUCACUAACAGUCUAGAAAAAAUCUACGCCCCCAACAAGUAUCCCACAUCAAGUCAGUACUGAAAGGAUCAAAGCUGCAACGUAGGAUGUAUCGCCCAUCGGAGCAAGCGAAGGUCUCCGAAACCAAUGACAGCAAUGCCAAUUACAAGCCAUCUAAAAUGAGUACAACCCAAUAAAAAUACUUCCCAUAUUUAUAUGAUUAAGCAAACAAAUCUUAUCCUAAACAGCAUGGCAAUAUCUAUCAAGUGGCUCUUGGGUGCUUCUUGUGGCUGAGCGGGCGGAGGCCUGUGUAUGACAAGGACUUCCAAGGCAAAAGGCAUUAGUAUAAGCAUUGAUCGAUGGAUUCUAAGUGGGAAUAUCUGCGAAGCUAUUCAUAAUAUAUUGAGUGAUAGCGAGAAAGGAAGCAUAUCCUGUGAUUUAUGAGAGGAGUCGCCUGUUUGUUUCAUGAGAAUGGGUGGCAUGAGAGCACGUGAUUCUUGGGGCCAAAUGGUCGGAGGAAACGGACGAUUGGCUGAGGAUUUU
rnacentral:lncRNA from 1 species